UACGGAGGGUGCGAGCGUUGUCCGGAAUCACUGGGCGUAAAGCGCACGUAGGCGGAUGUGCCAGUCAGGGGUGAAAUCCCGGAGCUCAACUUCGGAACUGCCUCUGAUACAGCACGUCUUGAGUCCGGAAGAGGUGGGUGGAAUUCCUAGUGUAGAGGUGAAAUUCGUAGAUAUUAGGAAGAACACCGGUGGCGAAGGCGGCCCACUGGUCCGGUACUGACGCUGAGGUGCGAAAGCGUGGGGAGCAAACAGG
rnacentral:rRNA from 1 species